AAAUUUGACAUUUCUGCCUUAAAGGCUGGGGAUCCCAUCUGAUCUUGGAAGCUAGGUUGGGUCAGCCCUGGUUAGUAAUUGGAUGGGAGACUGCCAAUGAAUACCAGGGGCUGUAGACU
rnacentral:rRNA from 1 species